rnacentral:rRNA from 1 species
AUGGCUGUCGUCAGCUCGUGUCGUGAGAUGUUGGGUUAAGUCCCGUAACGAGCGCAACCCUUGUCCUUAGUUACCAGCACGUUAUGGUGGGCACUCUAAGGAGACUGCCGGUGGACAAACCGGAGGAAGGUGGGGGAGUGACGUCAAGUCAUCAUGGCCCUUACGGCCUGGGCUACACACGUGCUACAAUGGUCGGUACAAAGGGUUGCCAAGCCGCGAGGUGGAGCUAAUCCCAUAAAACCGAAUCGUAGUCCGGAUCGCAGUCUGCAACUCGACUGCGUGAAGUCGGAAUCGCUAGUAAUCGUGAAUCAGAAUGUCACGGUGAAUACGUUCCCGGGCCUU